rnacentral:rRNA from 1 species
AUUGAGUUUGAUCCUGGCUCAAGACGAACGCUGGCGGCGUGCCUAACACAUGCAAGUCGAACGGAGAUACGCGCUGAAUGGAUGGAGCUUGCUUUUGAAAUUCUUGUGUAUCUUAGUGGCGGACGGGUGAGUAACGCGUGAGCAACCUGCCUUUCAGAGGGGGAUAACGUUUGGAAACGAACGCUAAUACCGCAUGAGACCACGGUACUGCAUAAUACAGUGGCCAAAAGACCAGUCCGCUGAAAUAUGGUGUCUCGUCCUAUUAUAUACUUGGCGAUCGUAACGGCCCACCAAGUCGACGAUCAGUAUCCGGACUGAGAGGUUGAACGGCCACAUUGGGACUGAGACACGGCCCAGACUCCUACGGGAGGCAUCAGUGAGCGGAUAUUGGUCAAUGGGCGGAAACCCUGAACCAGCAACGCCGCGUGAGGGAAGACGGUUUUCGGAUUGUAAACCUCUGUCCUCUGUGAAGAUAAUGACGGUAGCAGAGGAGGAAGCUCCGGCUAACUACGUGCCAGCAGCCGCGGUAAUACGUAAGGAGCGAGCGUUG